rnacentral:rRNA from 1 species
GUCUUUUUGAGUUUAAUUUAAAGUCUAAUCUGCCCACUGAUAAGUAUUUAAGGGCCGCAGUAUUCUGACUGUGCAAAGGUAGCAUAAUCAUUAGUCUUUUAAUUGAGGGCUUGUAUGAAUGAUUGGACGAGAUAUAGUCUGUCUCAUAAAAAUUUAAAUAGAAUUUUAUUUUUUAGUCAAAAAGCUAAAAUAAAUUUAAAAGACGAGAAGACCCUAUAGAUCUUUAUAUUUUAUUUAUUAAUUUUUUUAGGUUAUUUUUUAAUUUAAUAAAUAGAAUUAUUUUGUUGGGGUGACAAUGAAAUUUAAUAAACUUUCAUUAUUUUAUAACAUUAAUUUAUGAAUAAUUGAUCCAUUAUUAUUGAUUAAAAAUUUAAGUUACCUUAGGGAUAACAGCGUAAUUAUUUUGGAGAGUUCUUAUCGAUAAAAUAGUUUGCGACCUCGAUGUUGGAUUAAGAUUAAUUCUGGGUGUAGCAGUUCAGUUUAUUAAGUCUGUUCGACUUUUAAUUUCUU